rnacentral:rRNA from 1 species
AGUUGCAGGGUAUAGACCCGAAACCCGGUGAUCUAGCCAUGGGCAGGUUGAAGGUUGGGUAACACUAACUGGAGGACCGAACCGACUAAUGUUGAAAAAUUAGCGGAUGACUUGUGGCUGGGGGUGAAAGGCCAAUCAAACCGGGAGAUAGCUGGUUCUCCCCGAAAGCUAUUUAGGUAGCGCCUCGUGAACUCAUCUUCGGGGGUAGAGCACUGUUUCGACUAGGGGGUCAUCCCGACUUACCAACUCGAUGCAAACUACGAAUACCGAAGAAUGUUAUCACGGGAGACACACGGCGGGUGCUAACGUUCGUCGUGAAGAGGGAAACAACCCAGACCGCCAGCUAAGGUCCCAAAGUCAUAGUUAAGUGGGAAACGAAGUGGGAAGGCUCAGACAGCCAGGAUGUUGGCUUAGAAGCAGCCAUCAUUUAAAGAAAGCGUAAUAGCUCACUGGUCGAGUCGGCCUGCGCGGAAGAUGUAACGGGGCUAAACUAUGCACCGAAGCUGCGGCAGCGAUAUGUAAAUAUUGUUGGGUAGGGGAGCGUUCUGUAAGCCUGUGAAGGUGUGCUGUGAGGCAUGCUGGAGGUAUCAGAAGUGCGAAUGCUGACAUAAGUAACGAUAAUGCGGGUGAAAAACCCGCACGCCGGAAGACCAAGGGUUCCUGUCCAACGUUAAUCGGGGCAGGGUGAGUCGACCCCUAAGGCGAGGCAGAAAUGCGUAGUCGAUGGGAAACGGGUUAAUAUUCCCGUACUGGUGAUAAUUGCGAUGGGGGGACGGAGAAGGCUAGGCUAUCCGGGCGACGGUUGUCCCGGUUUAAGGAUGUAGGCAGGUGAAUUAGGCAAAUCCGGUUCACUAUAUGCUGAGGUCCGA